CCAGGUGAGCACCCCCAGCUCUCCCAGCCUGUGGGAUUCUCUUUUCCCCACUCAACCCGAUUUUCCAGAACAGUGACAAACAUUCCACAAGCAGAGGGGUGACAGGAGCCAGGGAAUCCCUGACCAGCUGUUCCUGGAGCACUCAAAGUGAGGUCCCUGCUCCCAGGGAAUGCCAGGUCCCACAUUCUCCCUGAGCUCAUCACUCUGUGUGCCCAUACGAGGAUUUGGGGAAGUUUUUUCCCCAUCCACCAAGCGAAGCAGCCUGCUGCUGGCAUUUUCCCUCUUCCCAUCUGCUCCUGGGAUGUUCCCUCCCCGAGGAAAGCCAGCAGAGAUGUUCCAGCUCCAGCUCGUGGAGCUGAUGCGGGAGCAGGUGAGCGGUUCAGAGAUCACCUGGCACAGCUGGAGCCAGAAGCAGACAGAUGUGCAGAGCCCACCCCAGCCGUGAGGGGCGGCCCCCUGCCCCCAGGAAUUCCUCUGGCGAGUGGCAGAGGAGGAGAGGUGACAGUGACAGAUGCAGGAAGCAGUGCCCGGUCUCUCUCUCCCUGGCUCCCGGCCUAAUCGAGCUGGAGGAGGGCACUGCCAGGGAGAGCCGGGCUGAUGCUAAUGGAGGAGGCUGUUAGCGGGGUGGGCUUGCGGCUGAGUGCAGCCUGGAGAAUGGCCUCGAGGGGAAAUGUGCUCGGUCUGUGAGCUCUGCUUCUCGUUUGGGUGGAAUUCAUCUCCUGGAGCCGAGCUGGGGCACCCACGCGAGCUGGUCCCUCUUGGGCUGCUCCCCUCCCAUCCUGCCCAGGCUCUGCUAUUCCCAGCUGGGUUUGAACACCUCCACACAUCCCAGUCCAGCAGCACAGCCCCCUCCUCGCCUCCCCCAGCGCCCUGAGCCAGCCCUCCCGCAGCCGGCAGCGCUUUCUGUGUGCCCAAGGAGCCGCUGAGGGCUUUAUCGAUUUCCCUUUUUUAUUUUUUUUCACUGUCGCUUUUAGACCACAUUUUCACCCAGCCUUCUCCUUCGAAAGUCCACCCCAGCUGCUUCCCUUCCUCUUGGUUUCCAGAGGCAGAUUCGGAGAGGACGCACGGGGGGCUGGCAGGGGGGACAGCGCUCCUGCGUGUGGCACUUCCAGCCUGCCGGAGCUGGGAUGAGGGAAGCAGGGAACUCUGCUCUUAGGAACAGCCGGGUGGUUUGCCUCAGCCCUCUCCUCUCUUCCCCAGCGGCGAGGGCCGGCGGCGGGGCUGGAGAGCUGCGUCCCGCUGAGAGGAUGAAAACAUGGGGCUCAAGUUAUCCUGCCUGAAAGGCCUGAAGAUGUGUGUGAGCAGCGGGAACGGCAGCGACGGGACCCCGACCCCGGGACAGAAGCACCUGCACGUGCCCUCCAUCAUCGUCACACCCCCCACGCCCACGGGCACCACGCUGUCCCGGCGUGGGGAGGGCCCCUCACCCUGCAGCCCGUGCUGAGAGGGGACACGGGGGACACCAGGAUGUCAGGAUGGAGCCACAGCCCCCAGGGCGAUGCUGCAGCUGCCAGGGACACACGGGGCACCCACACGGGUGGGUUUGGACACCAGGGAUUGGGGUUUGUCCCUUUUCCUGACAGCGCCGGGGAGGGGAUCCCCCCACGGUGAAUAAAACCCUGGGGAUCCGCA